rnacentral:rRNA from 1 species
GGCUCAGGAUGAACGCUGGCGGCGUGCCUAAUACAUGCAAGUCGAACGGAAUAUAUGAGCAAUCGUAUAUUUAGUGGCGAACGGGUGAGUAACGCGUUGGUGACCUGCCCCGAAGCGGGGGACAACAGCUCGAAAGGGCUGCUAAUACCCCAUACAGUUGCGAGAGAUUAGAAACUUGCAACGAAAGGAGUAAUCCACUUUGGGAGGGGCCUGCGUCCCAUCAGCUAGUUGGUAGGGUAACGGCCUACCAAGGCGUAGACGGGUAGGGGACCUGAGAGGGUGGCCCCCCACAAUGGAACUGAAACACGGUCCAUACACCUACGGGUGGCAGCAGUAGGGAAUAUUGCACCAUGGGCGAAAGCCUGAUGCAGCAACGCCGCGUGAGUGAAGAAGGCCUUCGGGUCGUAAAACUCUUUUCAAGGGAAAGAGGAAGGACGGUACCCUUGGAAUAAGCAUCGGCUAACUACGUGCCAGCAGCCGCGGUAACACGUAGGAUGCGAGCGUUAUUCGGAUUUACUGGGCGUAAAGCGCGUGUAGGCGGUUAGGAGAGUUGGAUGUGAAAGCUCCCGGCUUAACUGGGAGAGGUCGUUCAAAACUUCCUGACUAGAGUUUGGUAGAGGAAAAUGGAAUUCCGGGUGUAGUGGUGAAAUGCGUAGAUAUCCGGAGGAACACCAGUGGCGAAAGCGAUUUUCUGGACCGAUACUGACGCUCAGACGCGAAAGCUAGGGUAGCAAACGGGAUUAGAGACCCCGGUAGUCCUAGCUGUAAACGAUGUAGACUUGGCGUUGGGAGAGUAAAAUCAUCCAGUGCCGAAGCAAACGCGAUAAGUCUACCGCCUGGGGAGUACGGCCGCAAGGUUAAAACUCAAAUGAAUUGACGG